rnacentral:rRNA from 1 species
AGCGAACGCUGGCGGCAGGCUUAACACAUGCAAGUCGAGCGGGCGUAGCAAUGCGUCAGCGGCAGACGGGUGAGUAACGCGUGGGAACAUACCUUUUGGUUCGGAACAACACAGGGAAACUUGUGCUAAUACCGGAUAAGCCCUUACGGGGAAAGAUUUAUCGCCGAAAGAUUGGCCCGCGUCUGAUUAGCUAGUUGGUG